AGAGUGAACGCUGGCGGUAGGCCUAACACAUGCAAGUCGAACGGCAGCACGGUAAGAGCUUGCUCUUAUGGGUGGCGAGUGGCGGACGGGUGAGGAAUACAUCGGAAUCUACCUUUUGGUGGGGGAUAACGUAGGGAAACUUACGCUAAUACCGCAUACGCCCUUCGGGGGAAAGCCGGGGACCAGCAAUGGCCUGGUGCUGAUAGAUGAGCCGAUGUCGGAUUAGCUAGUUGGUGAGGUAAUGGCUCACCAAGGCGACGAUCCGUAGCUGGUCUGAGAGGAUGAUCAGCCACACUGGAACUGAGACACGGUCCAGACUCCGUACGGGAGCAGCAGUGGGGAAUAGUUGGACAAGUGGGCG
rnacentral:rRNA from 1 species